rnacentral:ncRNA from 1 species
GACUCAUCCAAUUUGCCUUUUCCACAUAAAUGAAUAAUUUGGAAUUGUUUUAGUAACUCAUCAAGACUUUCACGAACAGCGUUGUUAAUGGCAACUGCCCCAAGGCUUCCACCAAUGACUAAUAUGACAGGUUUUUCUGAUGUGAA